GGGGAUUUAGCUCUGGCAUAAGCACCUGCCUGGCAAGCAGGAGGUCGUGAGUUCAAUCCCUA
rnacentral:tRNA from 1 species